rnacentral:rRNA from 1 species
AACGAACGCUGGCGGCGCGCUUAACACAUGCAAGUCGAACGAGAAGGCGUAGCAAUACGCUUGUACAGUGGCGAACGGGUGAGGAAUACAUGGGUAACCUACCCUCGAGUGGGGGAUAACCCGCCGAAAGGCGGGCUAAUACCGCGUACGCUUCCGAUCUUGCGGGAUUGGAAGGAAAGCUGUCCCUUGGGGAUGGCGCUCAAGGAUGGGCUCAUGUCCUAUCAGCUUGNGGUAGGUAACGGCCUACCAAGGCAUCGACGGGUANCUGGUCUGAGAGGACGAUCAGCCACACUGGCACUGCGACACGGGCCAGACUCCUACGGGAGGCAGCAGUGAGGAAUAUUGCGCAAUGGGACAAAGCCUGACGCAGCGACGCCGCGGUGGGGGA